AAACGACUCUCGGCAACGGAUAUCUCGGCUCACGCAUCGAUGAARAACGUASCAAAAUGCGAUACUUGGUGUGAAUUGCARAAUCCCGUGAACCAUCGAGUUUUUGAACGCAAGUUGCGCCCGAAGCCAUUCGGCCGAGGGCACGUCUGCCUGGGCGUCACGCA
rnacentral:rRNA from 1 species